rnacentral:lncRNA from 1 species
AAUUAGGCAUUGAUCUUUUCCCAAACAUAUCCAUCCUUGGAAAGAAGAAUAUAUCAUCAAUAUGGAAUUGAAAGCCUGUCAAAGUUCAGCCAAGUUUUGUUGACCCAAGAAAGGUCCCACUACCUCAAUUGAUGUUAAUUAAAAAUCUUGCUUACAUCACCAAAAGAAAACCCUUGGGCCACACUGAUGGGAACUUGCUGUCUAAUCUUAAAACUGUUCCUUCUACUGAUUUAUUGAAGUAUCAACCACAUCUGAGAUUUUCUCUGCUGCCUCGCUUUUGAAGCGUGCUUUGCAACGAGAGCCUUUGUCCAACACAAUCCAAGUGUUUAAUCAUCUUCUCUGCAAUCCUCAGAAAUGCACAAGGACUAUAAUCAGUAAGUCUUACUCUGGACCAGGUACUUUCUUUUGUAUGGUAAUUUAUAACUUUUAUGCCUGUCGGUAGUUUUCUGUCAGAUGUUUUGCUCUGAAUCCUGACCAAGUUUCCCAUCAGGGAGCUUUUGUACCAUCUGCUAUAAACCCAAUUGUGAGAGUGGCUCAUCAGAUGUCAGUCAGUCAUUCCU